UAUUGGAAAGUAGAAUAUGAGAAGCGUCCUCAAUUAUCCAUGAUGGCUCGUGAUAUACUCAGUAUCCCUAUUACUUCAGUGGCCUCUGAAUCUGCUUUCAGCAUAGCUGGUCGUGUGCUUGAUAAGUACCGCAAUCGUCUUCUUCCGGAAAAUGCCGAAGCUCAAAUAUGCCUUGGUUCUUGGUUAGAGGAGGUUCCUUCUUUGGAAGAUAUUGAAGAAGGACAUCUGUUGGUGCAUGAUUUUAGUGAUAUUCAAAAUUUUGAAUCUGAAGGAGGGUGGUGAAGUGCUUGUUAGAAGAUUUGUCAUCUAUUAAGCUUGAGGCCAUGGGAUUUGCUCGAGCUCUUAUACUGCAAGUGUUCUUUGCCUGCAACAAGAGCGAAGAGAUGACAACAAACUACCUUUUGGAUCAUAUACAUGAGUUUGAGAACGAUCGGUAGUUUAAGAAAAGUCUAAGAUCAAUCGCCCCUUUCACUUUCAUCCAGUUUUAACUUAUCUUGUAGUGAUUAUUGUUCGAU